AUAGUGGGAUCAUGGCUCAGGACGAACGCUGGCGGCGUGCUUAACACAUGCAAGUCGAACGGAAAGCCCCCUUCGGGGGGACUCGAGUGGCGAACGGGUGAGUAACACGUGGGUGAUCUGCCCUGCACUUUGGGAUAAGCCUGGGAAACUGGGUCUAAUACCGGAUAGGACCAUGGCCUGCAUGGGUUGUGGUGGAAAGUAUGGUGUUUUCGAGCACUGUGCGGUGUGGGAUGAGCCCGCGGCCUAUCAGCUUGUUGGUGGGGUGAUGGCCUACCAAGGCUGCGACGGGUAGCCGGCCUGAGAGGGUGUCCGGCCACACUGGGACUGAGAUACGGCCCAGACUCCUACGGGAGUCAUUAGUGGGGAAUAUUGCACAAUGGGCGCAAGCCUGAUGCAGCGACGCCGCGUGGGGGAUGACGGCCUUCGGGUUGUAAACCUCUUUCACCAUCGACGAAGCCUUUAUGGGUGACGGUAGGUGGAGAAGAAGCACCGGCCAACUACGUGCCAGCAGCCGCGGUAAUACGUAGGGUGCGAGCGUUGUCCGGAAUUACUGGGCGUAAAGAGCUCGUAGGUGGUUUGUCGCGUUGUUCGUGAAAUGCCACAGCUUAACUGUGGGCGUGCGGGCGAUACGGGCAGACUGGAGUACUGCAGGGGAGACUGGAAUUCCUGGUGUAGCGGUGGAAUGCGCAGAUAUCAGGAGGAACACCGGUGGCGAAGGCGGGUCUCUGGGCAGUAACUGACGCUGAGGAGCGAAAGCGUGGGGAGCGAACAGGAUUAGAUACCCUGGUAGUCCACGCCGUAAACGGUGGGUACUAGGUGUGGGUUUCCUUCCUUGGGAUCCGUGCCGUAGCUAACGCAUUAAGUACCCCGCCUGGGGAGUACGGCCGCAAGGCUAAAACUCAAAGGA
rnacentral:rRNA from 1 species